UUAAUUUUUGCAUUUAAUAACCGCAUUGCGGCUGAAACGAGCCAGCAAACUGCCACCGGUCAGUCAGUUGGGCAGCGAUCGCGACGGGCGGCCAUUAAGCUUAAUAUGGCCAAGUAAAUUCUUGGCCAACUAUCCGGAGGUGUGAAGAAAAGUGUCGACUUGUUAAGCUGCGGCCACAGCGGGCCCAGACAGAUAGCCACCAACACCAGAGCUCUGUGGACGAGAUCGCCUGAGUUGCGAGCGCAUUUCUCGGAAACAACGCGCUCGUUUCGUGGAAGCAAUAAAUAAGAAGGCGGUGGCGGCGGAGGGAGCGGCAUUGUCCUUCAUGUGUUGCGUGGCGUAAUAAAUUUUAUUUAUUUUUUUUCCCCCCAGCUUUAUUCCUUUUCUUUUCCCGGCACAAGGACGACAUGGCGAAAAGGGCCGACGGACCAACACCACCGCCUUGUCGCACUCAAUUAGCGAACGCGAACGCGAGUCGCGCGCGUUUUUGGCGCGGCGAAAUCUGUUUGAUUUUCUUCUUGGCCAACUUAACGAUCGGCGUGCGGUUUUCUUGUUGAAGCAAAUUAACUAGACUGGUCUAGAGAUUAUCACCACCCAGCUACUCUAUCCCCCGCUGGCUGUCAACACCCGGCAUUGUCUUUGCGAAUGAAAUCCACAGACGAACAAUGGCUGGAAAAUAAUAUACAAGUUGCCUAUAAAGUGCCUGCUUAAGCUUUGAUGAGCUUAGACCCAUAAACCUCAUAAUGGUAGCUGCUCUAUAAAACAAAAUACGUGGCCAAGUGGAAUGGAGCUGAAAUUAAACCCCCCGCUUUCAAGCCAAUUCAAUUUGGGCGAUUCCACCGAAGUCUGUGUACACUUUAUGAGCAAGAGCCCCCAUUCAAAGCGGUUGUUAAAACCGAAAUUAGUUUUCUUAAUUAGUUCGGGCAGCUAAAAUUUAAUUAAACUUAAAGUGGAAGCAAAAUAAUGCAGCCGGAUUCAUUUUCAUUUCAGAGGAAUAUUUUCAACAAAAUUAACUUCUUAGUACAAAUGUCAAAAUAGAGAGGAUAAGAUU
ensembl:ncRNA lncRNA:CR44744 long non-coding RNA:CR44744